UGAUUUUAGGUGACAAAAAUCAGUUUAACAGUGGGUUUUGUAUUUUUAGCUAGUCACUUGUGAGUGUGUGUGUGUUUUCAAAGUGUAGGCUUAAAUGGCAUGCAAUGUGGCAUUGGUGGGUUUUGGAUCCCUGAAGGAACUUGGUACUUCUUGAAUGGCUUCUCUUGUCAUGUUCCUCUCUUUUAAUAGGGUAACUUGCAUUGUUCUUUGCAUAAUUUACUAAGAAAGUAGGGUUGUAGACAAAUCGAGGAUCGAUAAGAAUGAGAUAUCUUCAAUAUAAAUCUAAUUUGUUUUUUCUGACAAGUUUUUUAUUUCAUUAUAAACGUGAGUUUCUAUUUUUACCAGAGAAUGUGGAUUGGUUCAUUCGGUUGAUAAUAUUUGUGUGAAAUUUCGGGAGGUGAACUUAGUUGACCAGAGCUUGACAAUUGGCAGAAAAUUGUUUCGAAGUAUCUGUCUGGUGCGAUGGUUUACAUAACUGAGUGGGACAAAUUUGUGGAGCAAUCCAUUCAGUUGUUUCGUGCUGAUCCUGACUCUACACGGUAUGUCAUGAAGUACAGGCAUUGUGAUGGCAAGUUGGUACUUAGGGUCACUGAUAACCGGCAGAAACUAUUUCAGAUGAAUUAGCAGAUGGUUCUGGACUUGCUUAGAAGAUGAGAGAUCUGUGGGGGAAAAAGGAGACAUGGGGAAUUUAUAAAAUAAAUCUGUGUUUGAAUUUCCGAACUGUGGGAAAUUUUAAAUUUCAGAAGUUUAUGAACUGUGUGGGAUUUUAUUUUCAGAAGACUUGUGUUGUAAUAAAGAACUUAAUAUUUUGUUGAUGUUGAAAUUAAAUUUAGAAAAAAAAAAUUAUAUGUAUUUUAUGGAACAUAAAUUGUAACGCCAAAUUCGGGGUGUUACAGGACAAAUUUGUGGAGCAAUCCAUUCAA